GAUAACCCCGGGAAACUGGGGAUAAUACCGGAUAACGCAUAUGUGCUGGAAUGCUUUAUGCGUAAAACGGAUUCGUCCGCCCAAGGAUGGGUCUGCGGCCUAUCAGGUAGUAGUGGGUGUAAUGUACCUACUAGCCAACAACGGGUACGGGUUGUGAGAGCAAGAGCCCGGAGAUGGAUUCUGAGACAUGAAUCCAGGCCCUACGGGGCGCAGCAGGCGCGAAAACUUUACAAUGCGGGAAACCGUGAUAAGGGAACACCGAGUGCCAGCAUCAUAUGCUGGCUGUCCAGAUGUGUAAAGUACAUCUGUUAGCAAGGGCCGGGCAAGACCGGUGCCAGCCGCCGCGGUAACACCGGCGGCCCGAGUGGUGACCGUUAUUAUUGGGUCUAAAGGGUCCGUAGCCGGUUUGGUCAGUCCUCCGGGAAAUCUGAUAGCUUAACUGUUAGGCUUUCGGGGGAUACUGCCAGGCUUGGAACCGGGAGAGGUAAGAGGUACUACAGGGGUAGGAGUGAAAUCUUGUAAUCCCUGUGAGACCACCUGUGGCGAAGGCGUCUUACCAGAACGGGUUCGACGGUGAGGGACGAAAGCUGGGGGCACGAACCGGAUUAGAUACCCGGGUAGUCCCAGCCGUAAACUAUGCUCGCUAGGUGUCAGGCAUGGCGCGACCGUGUCUGAUGCCGCAGGGAAGCCGUGAAGCGAGCCACCUGGGAAGUACGGCCGCAAGGCUGAAACUUAAAGGAAUUGGCGGGGGGAGCACAACAACGGGUGGAGCCUGCGGUUUAAUUGGACUCAACGCCGGACAACUCACCGGGGACGACAGCAAAAUGUAGGCCAGGCUGAAGACCUUGCCUGAAUCGCUGAGAGGAGGUGCAU
rnacentral:rRNA from 1 species